rnacentral:rRNA from 1 species
UACGAAGGUGGCAAGCGUUGUUCGGAUUUACUGGGCGUACAGGGAGCGUAGGCGGUUGGAUAAGCCCUCCGUGAAAUCUCCAGGCUUAACCUGGAAAGUGCAGAGGGGACUGUUCAGCUAGAGGAUGGGAGAGGAGCGCGGAAUUCCCGGUGUAGCGGUGAAAUGCGUAGAGAUCGGGAGGAAGGCCGGUGGCGAAGGCGGCGCUCUGGAACAUUUCUGACGCUGAGGCUCGAAAACGUGGGGAGCAAACAGG